rnacentral:rRNA from 1 species
UACGAAGGGGGCUAGCGUUGUUCGGAUUUACUGGGCGUAAAGCGCACGUAGGCGGAUCUUUAAGUCAGAGGUGAAAUCCCAAGGCUCAACCUUGGAACUGCCUUUGAUACUGGGGAUCUUGAGUCCGGGAGAGGUGAGUGGAACUGCGAGUGUAGAGGUGAAAUUCGUAGAUAUUCGCAAGAACACCAGUGGCGAAGGCGGCUCACUGGCCCGGUACUGACGCUGAGGUGCGAAAGCGUGGGUAGCAAACAGG